AGCCAGCUUGGUUGCCCCCAUGCCUCAUUCAUUGCUUCAUUCUUUUAUUCAACAAAUGUGUCUGCUUCUUAAACACAUAUAUUGUGUCUGGCAAGGAUAAGCUGCUAGAGAGCCUAAACUGCAAGGUGCUGGAUGUGUACCGGCACUGCACUGGCACCCAGCAGGAGGCCAACCUGGGCACCGUGCAGAUGCUGACCAUCAUUGAGCACCAGCUGGAUGAGCUGCUAGAGAACCUGGAGCACGUGCCCCAGGUCAAGAUUGAGCAGGCCGAGAGGGCAAAGGAGAAGGAGCGGCGCAUCAGACUUCGAGAAGAGAAGCUCCAGAUGCAAAAGAUCCUACAGGAGGAGCGUCUGCAGCGGGCCCGGGCACGCGCCCAGGCUGAGAACAAGAAGAAGAGAGGCAGGACACUGGUAUGCCGCUCACGACCCCCAGCCCACAGGAUCAAACAACAAUCUGAGCACACACUGAUGGACAAGGAGAAGGAGGAGCUGCUAUUUUUCUUUACUUAAUCUUCGCAGACCAUAGCUGUUCUGGCUGAAGGCUUAGCAAAGAUGUUGGCAGAGGAAGCAGAGACUGGGCUGGGUCUCAAGUGGCCCAACUGAGUCCUCUCUGUCUCCUGUGUGCUCCCUUCCUCACCUGAAUAAAUUCAUGUCUCUGGA
rnacentral:sRNA from 1 species